rnacentral:rRNA from 1 species
GGUUAAGUUAGAAAGGGCGCACGGUGGAUGCCUUGGCACUAGGAGCCGAUGAAGGACGGGACGAACACCGAUAUGCUUCGGGGAGCUGUAAGCAAGCUUUGAUCCGGAGAUUUCCGAAUGGGGAAACCCACUGCUCGUAAUGGAGCAGUAUCCAUAUCUGAAUUCAUAGGAUAUGAGAAGGCAGACCCGGGGAACUGAAACAUCUAAGUACCCGGAGGAAGAGAAAGCAAAUGCGAUUCCCUGAGUAGCGGCGAGCGAAACGGGAUUAGCCCAAACCAAGAGGCUUGCCUCUUGGGGUUGUAGGACACUCUGUACGGAGUUACAAAAGAACGAGGUAGAUGAAGAGGUCUGGAAAGGCCCGCCAUAGGAGGUAACAGCCCUGUAGUCAAAACUUCGUUCUCUCCUGAGUGGAUCCUGAGUACGGCGGAACACGUGA